GACGAACGCUGGCGGCGUGCUUAACACAUGCAAGUCGAACGGAAAGGCCUGCUUUCCCUUGUGGAUUGCGGGUACUCGGGUGGCGAACGGGUGAGUAACACGUGAGUGAUCUGCCCCCAACUUGGGUAUAAGCCUGGGAAACUGGGUCUAAUUACCGAUAGGACUGCAGGGUGGUGCCGGGGGUGGAAAACGAUUUGCUAGUGGUUGGGGAUGAGCUCGCGGGCUAUCAGCUUGUUGGUGGGGUAAUGGCCUAACAAGGCGGCGACCGGUAGACGGCCUGGGAGGGUGGCCGGGGAAAUUGGGAACGGUCCACGCUCCUGAGGGAUGCGGGAGGCGGGAGUCGGGCAUAUUGCGCGAUGGGCUGAAGGCUGAUGCCGGGGCGCGUGGUGGGGGAUGACGGCUCUUGGGUUGUUAUUUCCUUUGGACCGCGAGGAAGCCACCUGGUUGGAAGGGUGGUGCCGGUAGUGGUAGAAGAAGCACCGGCUAACUCCGU
rnacentral:rRNA from 1 species